UCCCGCCGCUCGGAGCUCAGGCUCCGGGGCGCGGUGUCUCCCCUCGCUCUGGUGUUGAAGGCUCCUCUCUGGAGAUACCUCGGCAAAUGACUCUAUAAAAAAUUCCCUGUGUAGAAAGAAUCUUAACACCAAUGGUGGUUGCACUGGCACCAAUCUGAGCACAAACUCUGCUGCUGCACAGGGUAGUAAGUAAUCUGACUGAUAUAAAGACCACCUUGGAACCAGCCUGCAGGGCUACACUGGUAACAGGGAUUAUUUUGUCAGUCAUUGAAAAUGAAGGCUUUUAAUGCUCCAAUUUACACUGCAAUACAAAAACUCAAAUGCUGUGAAUACAAA